rnacentral:rRNA from 1 species
CAGUGAUAAACUGGAGGAAGGUGGGGAUGACGUCAAGUCAUCAUGGCCCUUACGAGUAGGGCUACACACGUGCUACAAUGGCAUAUACAAAGAGAAGCGACCUCGCGAGAGCAAGCGGACCUCAUAAAGUAUGUCGUAGUCCGGAUUGGAGUCUGCAACUCGACUCCAUGAAGUCGGAAUCGCUAGUAAUCGUAGAUCAGAAUGCUACGGUGAAUACGUUCCCGGGCCUUGUACACACCGCCCGUCACACCAUGGGAGUGGGUUGCAAAAGAAGUAGGUAGCUU